ACGGGGGGGGUAAGCGUUGUUCGGAAUUACUGGGCGUAAAGGGCUCGUAGGCGGCCAACUAAGUCGGACGUGAAAUCCCUCAGCUUAACUGGGGAACUGCGUCCGAUACUGGAUGGCUUGGAUUUGGGAGAGGGAUGCGGAAUUCCAGGUGUAGCGGUGAAAUGCGUAGAUAUCUGGAGGAACACCGGUGGCGAAGGCGACGUCCUGGACCGGCAUUGACGCUGAGGCGCGAAAGCCAGGGGAGCAAACGGGA
rnacentral:rRNA from 1 species